AUGGUGCAGACAAAUAAACAUGUUACUUUUCCCUUGGUCUAUCAUCUUCUAAAGUUAGUACUGAUAUUACCAGUUGCAACAGCAUCCGUGGAGAGAUGCUUUUCAGCUAUGAAUGUUGUCAAGAAAAAGUUGCGCAACAAAAUUGCUGAUAAGUUUGUCUAA
rnacentral:rRNA from 1 species